UCUGUGAGCCUGUGCUGGAAAGCUUGUGUGUGAUUCCGGUGUUUUAAUAAAAUCCUGGAAAUAGGACAGAAUAAAAGAGAACUUUAUUGUCAAAACAAGUGGAAAUUUCCUGUGAUGCAUGUAGCAGUUAGUUGUAGCACACACUGACAAAGACAGUAUAAUCAACAAAGUAUUAAAACAAUCAAGAAUGCAGGAAAUGAAGGAAUAAGAAACCAGCCACAGUGAUGGUGCAAAAAACAGGGUGACACAGUUAAACACCCGAAAUGAGGGAAGUACAGGACAUUUCCUCACGGGCUGAUUCACUGUGAGGUGAGGUGUGGGUGUGGUCAGGGUGAGGUGUGGGUGUGGUCCCGGUCAUACACUCUGCCGUAGAGCGCAGCAGUCACCAGACCGCGCUCCAUCCCGUGGCGGGUCAUGUAGAAGCCCCGCCCCUCCCAGCCGCUGUGGUCGAUGCGGUCCAGCUGCAUGUGGCUCCCGAGCACGCUUGGGAACACGUGGCGCGUGCUGAAGUUUCCCAUCAGCCGGAAGUCCAGGAGCGUGUCGGCGUGGUCGAUCGCUUUCCCACAGGUCUGAGGGGUGAGACCGCUGCACCUAAUCAGUGCACACACCUGCAAGUACGUUCUGUUCUUAUGCAGGCCAUCGAAGGCUGCCAAGGCAUAGAGCUCCUGGGGCGCAGUGCGCCUUCGGAACUGCAGGUGGCAGCAGAGUGCGUUAUCGCACACAGACAGGUUACCCUCAGCGCCCUCUACGAGCACCAUGGUGUAAUUGUCACGCAUCAUCACUGCCUUGAAGGGGCUGCUGGGGGCAGCUGGCUCCUCGGGGUGACCCCUUCCCUCAGGGACAGUCCGCUUCCACUCCCUGUCCCCCUGCUGGUAUUGCUGGGGCUCCUGCUCUCCUGAGAAGGGUGGUGGGAGGGGGGGGCUGUGGGAGUCCAGAACAGGAAGAGUUUUCACCAGCAGCUGGCCGGCUUCUGGCUCGCCCGCCCGUGCGUGGUGAUAUAGAGCCUCCCGGGGGCUGAAUAUCCCGCUGCCGGUCAUUCUCAGCUUUUCUACGCGAAGGUUAGCGGACAGGAGGGUGGUGCUAGUGGCGUAGGAGAAGGAGCGGUGAAACUGUACAGAAUCCAGCAGGGGGAGUGCGUUCAUCCAGGCUGUGGGGAAGAU